rnacentral:RNase_P_RNA from 1 species
UGAGCAAACAGGACGGUCGCGCGCCCAAACGGUCUUAACGGACCGUCCGAAAGGAUACGGCGUGAGGAAAGUCCGGGCUGCACAGGGCAAGGAUAACGGGUAACGCCCGCCGAAGGCGACUUCAGGACAAGUGCAACAGAGAUAUACCGCCGGCAAGGGCGUUUCGCCCCGCCGGUAAGGGUGGAAAGGCGAGGUAAGAGCUCACCUGUCGGCGGGGAACCGUCCGACACUGUAAACUCUAUCCGCAGCAACACCGCGGCACCGGGAACAAGGCCUGCCCGGCUGUUCCCGAGGAGGUGGCUGGAGCGCGCCGGCAACGGCGCGUCGAGACAGAUGACCGUCGCGAGCAAGCGUUUAUCGGCCCAUACUCGCACAGAACCCGGCUUACGGUUUACUCACAAA